AGAGAAAAAGGGGACGGAGGGGAUUAAGUCGUUUGUGCACAUGCGACUUAAUCCCCUCCGUCCCCUUUUCCUUU
rnacentral:antisense_RNA from 1 species